AGAGAGUGCUUAUUUUUUGCAGCACCACCUGCCAGCCAGAAUAUUACAAUAGACAUGCCAAUAUUAUAAUAGAAGCAGAAAUGCAACCACAAUAAAACACAAAUUAAUGACAACAAAACUUUAUAAACUAUCCAAACAUCCAAAUUAUCCCAUCAAAACUAUCCAACCAAACUUCAAAAUGUAAUAUUCAAAGUUAACAUCCAACUAAACAACAAUCCAACUAAACAACAAUCUAACCAAGCAUAAAAUCACUCCUCAUCUUCGGAUUCUCCCUCGUCUUCUUCAUUAUUUAUAUUAUUUUCAUCAUUUUUAUCCUCUUCAUAAAUGUGGCUUUUUGGCGGAGAGCGGGGCAGGCCUAUUAAGUGGUUCACUUGAGCCUUGAGGGGCUCGAUGUCAUUCCUAAGUGCGUCUCUAAUCUUCUCUUCAUGCUUUCUUUUUUCUCGUUCAUCCGCAUAGUUCCUAGAAAGUUGUUGAAUCAUUUGCCGCAUCUCCUCAAGGUCCUCAUUUUGCACGAUGGUGGAUGUUCCAAUACCUUGUAAUCCACAAAAGAGAAGUUAAAAAAAUACACGAAGAGUUAGAAUGGAAUAAUUCAGCACCUAACUUCAUAAACUUCAACCUGGGAACAUCGACUACCAUACAUACCAUGAAGUAGAAACUUCGGCUAAGUUUUGAGCAACAUAUUACUUUCACUAGAUAUAGGGAUACUCUUAAUAUGUGAGGCCUUUUGAGAAAAAUUGUGCAGACUUUGCCCAAAUUAAAACGGACAAUAUCACGGAUCUUUGAAGUUAGUCCUCAAAGUUAAAUGUACUUUAUACCGCUUCUCUUAUAUUGCCAUAGUUUUUCUCUAAUAUUUGGUAAAUGGAAAUAGUAGUGAAAGGAAAUUAAAGGAGAUCGAGAGUAAUAAUAAACUAGAAUGCAAAUAAGCUACUACAAUAUAUUUGCUAUUUAAUUUAGGUGAAUGAAAAAGAAAAAAGAGUAUACUAUCAAGUAAUUACCAUAAAAUUAUAGAGUAACUAAAAAUCUGUAUGUGAUUGUAAUUAAACUAAACUAAAAGAAAUAAAGAAUCAUAUUUUAACCAAAACAUCAUACCAUAUCAUUCCAAUUUCAGCAUGUUGUAUAACAAUCUUGAACGCACAUUAAAUAAGAGAUGAGAGGAAAUACCUAAAGUGCAGAAUCUCAAGGAGAACGCCAUUUAAGGCGAGAUAAAAAAAAGUAAGAAACUCGGCAGCGCAGAUCCAACAGAAAUUAGCACACAAGAAUCACAAAUUUGAGCUUUGACAGCUUGUAGAAAUUCGGGAAGAAAAGGAAUCAAACUUUUCUCUUCAAAUCCCAAUGUCCAGUUCUUCUUUCUGUUUUUUUUUUUAGAAUUCCAUAUCUCUCUUCGAGUCCAAAGAGAGGUGAGAGGAGAAAAGGUGUGAGCAGUGGCGACUGGAUUUGGCCGAGCUCAGGCGAGCCAUGGACGUCGGCAGUAGCGUCUGAGAGCUUUCUUGUUUUGGAAGGAUGGGGUUGUUGCUCGUGUCUCUCUUGUGCUAGGUUUUCGGCUGGAAUUGACCAAGGGGAAUGGGGGUCGGCGGCUAGGAGAAUGAAGAUGGAGAAGGGGAAGGCUAGGGUUUUUGGGUGGGGGAAGGGAUCUGAUCUUUUCUCUCUUGCGAAGAAAGGGGAAUUAUAGGGAUAGAGGGAUUUGGGCAAGGCGGGUUUGAG
rnacentral:lncRNA from 1 species